AGACGAAGGAUCCAAGCGUUAUCCGGAUUUAUUGGGUUUAAAGGGUGCGUAGGCGGAUUGAUAAGUCAGUGGUGAAAGCCUGCAGCUUAACUGCAGAACUGCCAUUGAUACUGUCAAUCUUGAAUAUGGUUGAUGUGGGCGGAAUAUGACAUGUAGCGGUGAAAUGCUUAGAUAUGUCAUAGAACACCGAUUGCGAAGGCAGCUCACAAAGCCAUUAUUGACGCUGAGGCACGAAAGCGUGGGGAUCAAAACAGG
rnacentral:rRNA from 1 species